CUUGGGGAAGUCAUGGGAAGACUGGGAACUGGAAGGGAAACAAACUAGGGAUAUGGGGGAAGAGAGAGAUACAGGCAGAUGAGAUGGGGAAUCCAGGAUGGGAUGAAUGCAUCUGGGAUGAGAAGGAUGGAGACAGGGAGUAGGGAGAGCUGGGGAGAACAGUGAGGAAAGGGCAUGUGAACAGAGGUGGUAGGCUAGAAAGUAAACCAGGAGGCAGCAGAGGCAGACACACUCUAGAGCUACCCCUUCCUCCCACCCACAUACUCUAGUGAUUAGCCUAGGAUAAACUACAAAUGUUUGUAGCCAGGAACAUUUGGGGAGUGUCCUGACUAGCAGCCCACACAAAAGUGUUAACUACCCCCCGUUAACUGAGAAUCAAUUAACUCCAGAAACCAGCACGGUCCUGUGCAAAGAGACAAGUGAAAGCAGGAAGAGGGGAGGUUCUGGGGAUAGAGUCAAAGGUGGUGAAAAGGCGGCUGGAUUGCAGUGCUCAAGCAUUUCUGACUGACUCCUAAAUUCCAGGAGGUUGAUAUGGAGAGUUGAUUCUGUGGGGACCAUUUGCCCUGAACCUUGUGAUUACUCAGAUUCCCAAUGAGCGCAGUGUGGCCCUCAAGUUCUUCAGUGUGUGAAGGGAGGCAUCCGUCUUGUCGGUGAAGAGCUUGGAAUCCUUGAAUGGGAGGUCCUCAACAGUUGUCUGUACUUCCUUCGGUAGUCCCCGAAAGGUGUAACCAUGAAGCCCAUCUCAUCACCACUGCUAUCGACACUGAGUGGGCUGCUCUAUCUGUGGCAUCUAGUACUGUCUGUAGCACUGUCCUCGCUAUCAGCUGGGCUUGAAAUUGUUCUUUUUGUUCAUCUGGCAGGUAUCAAUA